AUUGAACGCUGGCGGCAGGCCUAACACAUGCAAGUCGAGCGGAGCGGCGGACGGGUGAGUAAUGCCUAGGUAUCUGUCUGGUAGUGGGGGAUAACGUACGGAAACGGGCGCUAAUACAUAAUACUAUCAGAUGAGCCUAGGGAGGAUUAGCGAGGUGGUGGGGUAAGGGCCUACCAAGGCGACGAUCCGUAACUGGUCUGAGAGGAUGAUCAGUCACACUGGAACUGAGACACGGUCCAGACUCCUACGGGAGGCAGCAGUGGGGAAUAUUGGACAAUGGGCGAAAGCCUGAUCCAGCCAUGCCGCGUGUGUGAAGAAGGUCUUCGGAUUGUAAAGCACUUUAAGUUGGGAGGCGUUACCAACAGAAUAAGCACCGGCUAACUUCGUGCCAGCAGCCGCGGUAAUAC
rnacentral:rRNA from 1 species